rnacentral:lncRNA from 1 species
AACCAACUUCAGCGAAGAGAAGGAAGGCACUCGAAUGGAGCCAUGACUUUCCCUGACAGCCUGGCCACUUAGAGACCCAGCAGAAGAUUCAGACUGGAGAGACUAACAGCUCCUUGCAGCAUAAAACACAGCUCUCGAUCUCAACAAAUUCCACUCACCAGGCAUUUAUGGAAUGCCGCUGUGUGCAAAGGGCUGUGCCAGUGCCCACCCAGUUGCAACUUUCCUGCCGAUAGCUACAGAUUUAGGCCGUCUUGUCCCCUGCUGCCACGGAGAAACUCUCUGCACUGUGAGAACCGCAAAGGGUUAAAGCUGCCUCCAGAAUGGGUCAGCCUGAGAUCGCGUGGCACCAGGAGAAUCUUGUUUACCAAACUUUAUAUUUUGAGUUAUUUUAAGUGAAUGUGUAGUACACCACCCAGAUUUCCCCUUCAGGACUAUGGCGUACAGACCCCAAAACGGCCCCCUGAUGUUCAUGCCUCAUAUAAUCCCCUCCCCUGGAGUGUGGGUGGGCCCUGUGACUCACCUCUAGCCCACAGAACAUAGCAGAAGUAGAGAGAUUUUUGACAUAUAAUUAAACCCCCAAAUCAGCUGAUUCUGAGUUAAUCAAAAGGGUGAGCCUGAGUUAACCAGGUGAGCACCCUUGAAAGAGGCACUGACUGUCUCUGAGUGAAAGGCUCUCUGGUGGGCUUCAUGAAGUAAUUGGCUAUGUUAGCAGCCAGGGGGCAAGGAACAUGUACCAGCUCUAGGAACCUCGGGCAACCUCUAGGACCUGAAGGUGGCCCCCAGGCAACAGCCGGCAAAAAACCAGGCCUUCAGUCAUCCAGCCACAAGGAAAUGACUUCUGCCACCAACUUAAAUAUUCUUGGAAGUGGAUUCUUCCCAGUGGAGCUGCAGAUGAAAGCACAACCCAGUCCACACCUUGACUAACGCCUGUAGGACCCGACCAGAGGACCCAGUGAGACCAUGCCCAGACUCCUGACCCUUGGAAAGGACGUUUCCCCUGCAAAUGGAAGAGGAGAUGAGCAGAAACCCACAUUUGUCAGACAUGGUUACCUGUUACCAGCUCAGCUGAAGACCAGGUGGGCGAAGAGAGGAAACUAAUGGGAUCCCCUGUCAAGGGCAUUUCCACCCUAGCCUGUCCCUCUUGUCGUGGAGACUUGGAUGCUUUCUUCAAGAUCUGGUGGCCCCAAACCCCCAAGAGACAGGAGAGCUUGUUUAUAUUAUCAUUUUAUUUCAAGUUGUGAGCUUUCCCUUUAUCACCAAAAAGUUCCUGGAAGAACACCAAUUUAGUUCGGUUUCACUGAGUAAUUGAACGUGUUUGCUAUCCACUGUGUAUUUUUAACCCCACAUUGUUUACUGGCCACCUUCCAUUGCAUGGUGUCAUUCUGUGUUGAAUACUGCAAAAGCAGAAGUCCCAGUGUCUGCCAAUAACGAAUGACUGGGGAGAAAA